AUGAGACGUGCAGUUGGAUAGGGCGUGCCUGAAGCUGGCUCCAUCCCUGGGGUCUGGCUUGGUGGCAAAUUAGUUGGUGCUGGGCAUUGCGCUGGUAGCGCUGCUGUCGUGGGUGUAGCAGCAGGCCUUUUCUGAUCAGGGCGAGACCAGGCUAGUGUGGUUGUUUGCAGCAACAUGCUUGAGGAGAGCAAGCCAGGGAAAGCAUGCUCAUAUUCAUUCAUGCAAUCAUAUGUAAACAGGUUCUAAAGUCCUACUCAACUAUGCAUGAGCAUGCUGGUUACAUCUUUGACCCUCCCAACUGGCUUCCUGUUAAAUCUGUUAAAAAGGAAAGUCUCCAGUCUACUGUGUGAAUGAAAAUUCCAGUCCUAAAUAACAGACAGGGAAAGAAUCAAGAAAACAUUUGCUAUUUUUUUGUUUGUUUUCUUUGUUUUUUAACCAGCCAGAAAGCGAGGCCUAUUUUUGGUUUUGGUCACAUUAGGCUGUGCUGAAUGUUGGCAUGAAGUUCUAGGAGCUCAGUGAUAGCAUUUUUCUAUUCUUAUAUUUAAACAGGCACCUUCCCAGAAGAGUAACAGCACAAAGUUCGCAGUUCCAAUGAAAUGGUGUCUGAGAAUUGCUGGAAAAGAAGCACAAGAGGAAAGACCGUCUCUGUGUGAACAUAGUCAACUUACCAUUCUAACGUCAGCGCUAUAGAAGCCUUCCCUUCACAUAAGCAGUCACCAGCAGGAGGAGAGGACCGGUGGAUUCAGCACACGAGCAUUAACAGCACUGCAUUCUCUACCAGACAAAGUUACAGAAAACGCAUUCAAAGCCUGAAGAAUGAAAAAGAGAAAAAUGUAUUCCUCAUAUUGUGGCCGGAUGCACUGCACAGAAGCAGAUCGAGAACAUCCACUGCUCUUUAUCCACGUGGAGGGACAUAUGACUGACAAACUGGACGUUCAUCUCUGUCUCAAACCCACACACAUGACAGCUGCAGGCAGAAUGGAAUUCAAGAGUAAGAAGGAUUAAAAAAUAAAGCACAAACAGAAGCAUAUUGCCCUUCCCUUCAUUUUUGUAAGAAAAAACUCACUGCACUGAUUUAUUUUCUUCUUCACUGUUGAAUGUUCACUGGAAAAUUCUUUUGUCUGCUGAACUGCCUUUGAACUGAU